UACGGAGGGGGCUAGCGUUGUCCGGAUUUAUUGGGCGUAAAGAGCGUGUAGGCGGCCAGGUAGGUCCGCUGUGAAAGUCCGAGGCUCAACCUCGGAAUGUCGGCGGAAACCCUCUGGCUAGAGUCCGGAAGAGGAGAGUGGAAUUCCCGGUGUAGCGGUGAAAUGCGCAGAUAUCGGGAAGAACACCCGUGGCGAAGGCGGCUCUCUGGAACGGUACUGACGCUGAGACGCGAAAGCGUGGGGAGCGAACAGG
rnacentral:rRNA from 1 species